UACGAAGGGGGCUAGCGUUGCUCGGAAUCACUGGGCGUAAAGCGCACGUAGGCGGAUUGUUAAGUCAGGGGUGAAAUCCUGGAGCUCAACUCCAGAACUGCCUUUGAUACUGGCGAUCUUGAGUCCGGAAGAGGUGAGUGGAAUUCCGAGUGUAGAGGUGAAAUUCGUAGAUAUUCGGAGGAACACCAGUGGCGAAGGCGGCUCACUGGUCCGGUACUGACGCUGAGGUGCGAAAGCGUGGGGAGCAAACAGG
rnacentral:rRNA from 1 species